GUAGGUGGCAAGCGUUGUCCGGAAUUAUUGGGCGUAAAGCGCGCGCAGGCGGUUCUUUAAGUCUGAUGUGAAAGCCCACGGCUCAACCGUGGAGGGUCAUUGGAAACUGGAGAACUUGAGUACAGAAGAGGAAAGCGGAAUUCCACGUGUAGCGGUGAAAUGCGUAGAGAUGUGGAGGAACACCAGUGGCGAAGGCGGCUUUCUGGUCUGUAACUGACGCUGAGGCGCGAAAGCGUGGGGGAGCAAACAGGAUUAGAUACCCCGGUAGUCCACGCCGUAAACGAUGAGUGCUAAGUGUUAGGGGGUUUCCGCCCCCCUUAGUGCUGCAGCUAACGCAUUAAGCACUCCGCCUGGGAGUACGGCCGCAAGGCUG
rnacentral:rRNA from 1 species